rnacentral:rRNA from 1 species
GGCGAACGCUGGCGGCAUGCCUAAUACAUGCAAGUCGAACGCUUUAAUUUCACCGGGUGCUUGCACCCAUCGAAGUUAAGGAGUGGCGGACGGGUGGGUAACACGUGGGUAACCUGCCCAUAAGAGGGGGAUAACAUUCGGAAACGGAUGCUAAUACCGCAUACUUCUAAUCGUCUCCUGACGAAUGGAAGAAAGGUGGCUUCGGCUACCGCUUAUGGAUGGACCCGCGGCGUAUUAGCUAGUUGGUGAGGUAAUAGCUCACCAAGGCGAUGAUACGUAGCCGACCUGAGAGGGUGAUCAGCCACACUGGGACUGAGACACGGCCCAG